rnacentral:rRNA from 1 species
AGAGUUUGUUCCUGGCUCAGAUCGAACGCAGGUGGCAGGCCUAACACAGGCAAGUCGAGCGGUAGAGAGAAGCUUGCUUUUCUUGAGAGCGGCGGACGGGUGAGUAAUGCCUAGGAAUCUGCCUGGUAGUGGGGGAUAACGUUCGGAAACGGACGCUAAUACCGCAUACGUCCUACGGGAGAAAGCAGGGGACCUUCGGGCCUUGCGCUAUCAGAUGAGCCUAGGUCGGAUUAGCUAGUUGGUGAGGUAAUGGCUCACCAAGGCGACGAUCCGUAACUGGUCUGAGAGGAUGAUCAGUCACACUGGAACUGAGACACGGUCCAGACUCCUACGGGAGGCAGCAGUGGGGAAUAUUGGACAAUGGGCGAAAGCCUGAUCCAGCCAUGCCGCGUGUGUGAAGAAGGUCUUCGGAUUGUAAAGCACUUUAAGUUGGGAGGAAGGGCAGUUACCUAAUACGUGAUUGUUUUGACGUUACCGACAGAAUAAGCACCGGCUAACUCUGUGCCAGCAGCCGCGGUAAU